rnacentral:rRNA from 1 species
CCUACGAGUGGCAGCAGUGCGGAAUAUUGGUCAAUGGGCGGGAGCCUGAACCAGCCAAGUCGCGUGAGGGACGACGGUCCUAUGGAUUGUAAACCUCUUUUGUCGGGGAACAAAAGCGCCCACGGGUGGGCUGCUGAGUGUACCCGCAGAAACAGCAUCGGCUAACUCCGUGCCAGCAGCCGCGGUAAUACGGAGGAUGCGAGCGUUAGCCGGAUUUAUUGGGUUUAAAGGGUGCGUAGGAGGACAGUCAAGUCAGCGGUAAAAAUGCGGUGCUCAACGCCGUACAGCCGUUGAAUCUGGCAGUGUUGAGUGGGCGAGAAGUAUGCGGAAUGCGUGGUGUAGCGGUGAAAUGCAUAGAUAUCACGCAGAACUCCGAUUGCGAAGGCAGCAUACCGGCGCCCAACUGACGCUGAGGCACGAAAGCGUGGGUAUCGAACAGGAUUAGAUACCCGGGUAGUC